GCAGGCCUAACACAUGCAAGUCGAACGCCCCGCAAGGGGAGUGGCAGACGGGUGAGUAACGCGUGGGAACAUACCCUUUCCUGCGGAAUAGCUCCGGGAAACUGGAAUUAAUACCGCAUACGCCCUACGGGGGAAGGAUUUAUCGGGGAAGGAUUGGCCCGCGUUGGAUUAGCUAGUUGGUGGGGUAAAGGCCUACCAAGGCGACGAUCCAUAGCUGGUCUGAGAGGAUGAUCAGCCACAUUGGGACUGAGACACGGCCCAAACUCCUACGGGAGGCAGCAGUGGGGAAUAUUGGACAAUGGGCGCAAGCCUGAUCCAGCCAUGCCGCGUGAGUGAUGAAGGCCUUAGGGUUGUAAAGCUCUUUCACCGGAGAAGAUAAUGACGGUAUCCGGAGAAGAAGCCCCGGCUAACUUCGUGCCAGCAGCCGCGGUAAUACGAAGGGGGCUAGCGUUGUUCGGAAUUACUGGGCGUAAAGCGCACGUAGGCGGAUAUUUAAGUCAGGGGUGAAAUCCCAGAGCUCAACUCUGGAACUGCCUUUGAUACUGGGUAUCUUGAGUAUGGAAGAGGUAAGUGGAAUUCCGAGUGUAGAGGUGAAAUUCG
rnacentral:rRNA from 1 species